UACGGGGGGGGCAAGCGUUGUUCGGAAUUACUGGGCGUAAAGGGCUCGUAGGCGGCCAACUAAGUCGGACGUGAAAUCCCCCAGGCUCAACCUGGGAACUGCGUCCGAUACUGGAUGGCUUGAAUCCGGGAGAGGGAUGCAGAAUUCCAGGUGUAGCGGUGAAAUGCGUAGAUAUUGGGAGGAACACCAGUGGCGAAGGCGGCUACCUGGACCGGUUCUGACGCUGAGGCGCGAAAGCGUGGGUAGCAAACAGG
rnacentral:rRNA from 1 species